ACGUGUUAAAGUUAAUGUUUUUUGAUAGGUUUAAGUGUAUUAGAUAUCACUGUGUAGUAAAUUAUAACACGUUUCUAUUAAACUUAGAUCCUGUCAGGUGUAUGUCCACGCUACAUAGUGACGUGGUCUCAUUUUUAAUGUUUUGGCACACCUCUUUUCGCUUUUAAUUGAUAUACUCAGCCAAUUAAUCAAGUACAUCUAGAAGUAAGAGUUCAAUGGGAUAAUUGCUAAGUAACUGGGUUUUUUCAGUUUAAUGAUAACGUGUUUUAAUCGUCGGGUGGCGAUAUUUGUUAAUCGUUUUGUGUAAUUCUGCAGUCAGAAAGAGCUCCGUGUCCUAAGAAAAAAAUUCUUCUGUAGACUGAUUUAUUAGCCAGCCAAAAGUAAUUGAUCCCCGAUUUCCAUCGCGCAUUUCGUCCCCAUUGCCCCCAGAACACUAAAGAUAGGAAACGUCAAGACGUUAAUCAUCUGCCCUUUUGCAAGAUUUAAGCAAAGUGUUGUCACGCUUAACCGGUUUAUCCCUGCUACGCACAUGUCAUUAUUUAACGAACUCCAAUUGAUUUGCGUUAGGUUUUACUUGAUUAUGAAACUAACUUCGCUUUCCAAAGCAUUAAAGCGUGAGUCCCAUCUUAAGGUGGGAGUCCCAUUUAGUAAAUUGAAAAUGUAUUUGAAAUAUACUGUUACUUUUACGCUUUCAAAGGGGCAGCGCAUGGAAUUUUAGAUCUUGUAUUUACACCCAAUAUUGAUUAACAAGUUUAAACCAGUUAGAUAGGCGAAUCACCAUAACAUCACAUUAAGCUGAUGACCCUGUACUGAUUUGUGGCCGACUUGGGGUGGAAAUUUAAGAAAACGAGUUGAAUUCAAGUUCUUUUUAGGUUUGCACUCAGCUACGGAGGUUAAACUGUUCAAUGAACAGGGGUCCAUGUGCCAAUCUAGAAAGCGGUUGGUGGUUAUAAACUGUUUGUCACGCAAGCAGUUUGAUGACAAGCCAAUUUGGAGUGCCUUGUCCAUCAUCAGGGUACCAUUGAAACUGUUUCAGGAAGCGUUAAUACCACCAAUGAUCAUCGCUUGUAGAAAUUACGACUUCCCUCUUAUUGGCGGGGACGCAGGACCACCAAACGACAAGCUCGAACGAUCAAGUUCUAUCGCCGACCUAAUGAAUGUUAGUCGUCCCUUUUUCUAUACAUCAGGAACAGGCAGAUAUAAACAACCUACAAGGAACAGCAGAACCCGCAAGUCAUCAUGAAACACUGACUCACAACCGCCGAGGAAAAUUCCAUGCCAUCACGCGCCUGCACGCCAUCCAAUCAGCUCGCCAGUCACGAGCCGAACAUUACGUUUGAAAAGGAGAGCCAAGGGGAUAUAUGGGAGGAGACGGAAAAAGGUCGGAUUUGUUUGCUGUUCAACUAGGGUACGUCGGCUUGGUUUUCCACACGGUAAUCGUCGCCUUUCAUCCCAUUUUGAUAAAGGAGUCCGCAAACAAUUUGCAGAUGGGGGUUUUUGUUUGGAUUUUUACUCGUGUUGAUGAUGCUCGAUGAACGUAUCUAAUUUUUUUUGUCUUCAACGUUGCUGUGUCGCCACAGGCUGUCGGCGCGCUGAUAAUGAUCAGAUAAUUAUCUCUUUGUACGUAUGGCAACGGCCGCCAGGAAAACGUUGCUGAUGUCAAAACUGUUGGCGCUUAUUGGCCGUAACAUUGAACGGGCGACGGAAGAAAAAGUUGUUCAAGAAGAAAAUUGAGUGAUGGAAAGUAUUUUUACAAGAAGAAACAGUUAGGAUGUGAAGAUUUGCGACUCGAGUGAGGGUGGCGGUCAGGUGCGAUUGGAGAGUAGUGUUCGACUGGCCGCUUAACCGUACAUCUCGCCUGUCUAUAUAUACACACGGCAGUGGGUCGGCGUUCUCUUUUCCUCGUUUUCUUGGAUAGCUUUGCCACUCGCGCGCCAUUGCCUUUCGACUACUUUACGAUACGACCGGAACUCGGGCGGAGACCCAGCGUUUGCUGAGAUGCGCAUCACUGACACGACACCACAACAUCUUUCUUUUGGGGAGAUAAGGCUUUUCUUUUCCAACGGAAAUUGCAAAGAUAUCCUUCUGUAGAGAUGACAUUUGCUAUUCACGUCGGGUCGAUUUCUCCGGACCAACAGUCGUCCCAAAUGUCUUUCAGCAAAGCGGGUCACCAUUAAAUGGAGGCUGUCUUCCCUUUAUUGUCUUUUAUAUAUCAAUGUUAGACUUCCUCUUUCAUCUCGCUGUGCAGCUUAAUGGCUGUGUAACAUUCUUAUACAUGGGGAGAGACACCACUCUAUAGUAGAUACUUGCUGCCCAAGAUUCUUCAUCAUUUUUCUUUUUUUUUUCUUAGGCAAUGUCCCAGGGUAUAUAGGAUUUGCCCCGUGCUUUCUUACAAUGACUUUUGAGGACAAGGGUUCGGUCUUUUAUCGCUCACCAUUUAUCAAGAACUUUUCUUUCGGGAAGAAGAAAAUGCUGCGGUGAUGGGCGAUGUGUCAUCAUAUCGUUUCCCGUUAAAGAUUAAAAGAGAUAUUAAGAAAUCGAUUACGGUUUUUAGACAUAAUGGGGAAUGGCUUUUGAAUGCUGAAAGGAGCUUUACAAGCAAAGAAUGCGCUAACGAUGGAGGCUGUUGUAUCAGCUAAUAUUAUGCUGUCCGUAUAGCAUACAGGGCACAGUGAUAUGGAAUUUUCCCGUAUUGCUGUUGGGUGUUUUUAAUUAGCAUAUGUCGACGAGGAAUGUUUGUUCUUCAUGAGGAAAAAUGCGUAUUAAAGACUACAUCCAAGAGAAGUAUUUUUUUAACUUGUUAAUAAUUGAUCACGGUUUUUCCCUGUCAUUGUAUACAAACAUGUCUGUAUUAGUAGACUUGCCUUGGGGCGAUGUUUCAUGUGAGUUCAACAUUGUAGAGUAGAAACGCGGCAGUAGACAAAGCGUCUGAUGAUUACGAGCUUCGUGAAUUAGCAGGUACACACCUGAAGGUAAAAUAAAAUAGUUCAAUCAUAA